CUCCGCGUGAGCAUGCGCAAAAGGGCUCUGCGUCGGAGACGUCGCGUAAGGUCGCUUCCGUGUCAGAGACUUAAGAUGUACAGCUCAAUAUGCCCGGAUUGAUGGCUGCUAAGGAAACGUUGCCCUUGACAGAAAGAAGACUGACCCCUCCAUACACAAACUACCAUCACUACCCCAGUUUAAAGCAUACUGCACCUGUUGUACCUCAUGGCUUGCAAUAAACUUAAUUUUCUGCAUGUGAAGGUGCUGUGUGGGUUGGCAAUAAGGUGAACACGGUUUAUGGACACCUGAUAGCCCGUUGGCCCGCUGAAUAUUGAUCCAACAUAAUAAAAGUGGCUAAAGAAAAGGGUUGAAA